UGUCCAAUGCGGGAAUCGAACCCGGGUCCUAGUGGUCGAAAACCAAACGGUUUAACCAGCCUUCCACCGACCUAAAAAAGAU